GCGCCGAUGGUCCAGCCUGGUCUAAGACGCGAGCCUUCCAAGCUCGCAACGCGGGUUCAAAUCCCGCUCGGCGCA
rnacentral:tRNA from 1 species